GAAUGUCACUUAACGUUGUUCUGUACCACUGAAAGUUGCAGAGUAUGAAGAGAACGUAUGGUGUGAUGACAUUCCCAUGGUCCUACCAACGUACUACUUGGAGGGCCUUAGCUCUAUGACAAUAAUGUGCUAGUUGGAGGUACUAAGAACCAAUGCUUCUUCGAUCACAAAGGUAAGCCUUUCAUUUUAAAUCCACUCAACAUACCACAAGUGAAGGACAAGUUAUGGGCUGCCCAAGUAAGAAGACAAAAUGUCUUAAAGAGGAUAGCAACAACUGUUGGGAAUAUUCCUCUCCAUAAAGGUUUCGAUGAUAACAAACAAGUCGAGCUCUAACAACUAUUUCUCUAAGUGUCAUGUAAAGGAUCACAUUGUGGAAGCAUCAUGUAAGGGACCACUUCAAUGAAGCCCAAGAUGCAAGUGGGAUUGACAAUUUAAAAGAACUCAAGAUGGAGAAUACGAAGAUUUAUUGAAGAGCUCUAAGAGACAUUGAAGAAGUGGAAGAACUCAAAUUGAAGACAAUGAAGAAGUAGAAGAACUCAAAUUGAAGAAAUUGAAGAGUUGGAUACUUCUAGAUUAAGAUGUAAUUCACGCACUCCCACACGCACUACACUCAUGCAUAUUAAUCAUGGACAACACUCAUGAAUUAACCCAAGGCAUGUUAACCUCCUUGUGUGACUGCCAGACAGUCAAAACACAAAACAGAGGUCAAGCGGCGCUCCCACACGCACUACACUCAUGCAUAUUAAUCAUGGACAACACUCAUGAAUUAACCCAAGGCAUGUUAACCUCCUUGUGUGACUGCCAGACAGUCAAAACACAAAACAGAGGUCAAGCGGCGCUCCCACACGCACUACACUCAUGCAUAUUAAUCAUGGACAACACUCAUGAAUUAACCCAAGGCAUGUUAACCUCCUUGUGUGACUGCCAGACAGUCAAAACACAAAACAGAGGUCAACCGGCGCUUUGCCUCUGUGAUGGAUUUUCCAUCAGAAACUGCAAACAACAGUCAACCGGCAACUGCCAGAUAGGAACCGGCAACCGUCGGAUUUAACCAGAAAUUUAACCGGCUAGCCGGAUCAAUUCCGGAUCAUUUGACUGUGUAUUAAACAGCCCACAGAGAGCAACCGGCAAGUUCUGGUUGGAAGCGGCAACUGUCGGUUGACCUCUAAAGACUCCAAUGGCUAUGUAACGGCUAUAUUUUUUAGUCUAACGGCUAGUUUCAUACAACUGGACUAGGAAGCGGCAAUUGCUGGUUGAGAAAAUUUCUACCCGUUAGAAAUUGUUCUCCUUCUAAAUUGGGUGAUCUUAUUACCCUAAUUGAGCCUAGUCUCUACCUAUAUAAAUACCCCAUUAAUGACUUUAAUAAAAAACAAUUUAAGUGAGCUUUAAGCAAUCAUAUCAAAGUCAAUUGUGAGAUUUAACUGCUAUUAUCAUUGGGGUUAUUCUUGAAGUCAAACAGGUUCUCCAAGAACUCAAAGACUUCAGCAAAGUCUCUCUCAUCAGCCCAUACCUAGGGGAGACUUCAUAAGGUGCAUUUAAGCUUAUAUUUUGCAUAUUCAUUUUGCACGCACUGCACGAGGUAAACUCGAACCAUUAUAUUCCACUUGUUUUAUUACUUUUUCAUUCUCCUAGACUGUAAUUAGGAUUGUGUAAGGAUCCUCUUAUCCUAAAAAGAGUUGGGUGACUCUCCACCGUAAAACGGGAUUGUAAGAGGUGCCUCUCUACUUGGAAAGAGAUUGUAAGGAUACUCUUGUCCUAAAUAAGAUUUUGUAAAGGUUUUCUACCCUACCUACUGUACUGAAAGGGAGAGCUAGUGGAAUACUUUACAAGUGGAACUUGUAGGGAGUGGAUUAGACUCGAGUUGAGUCGAACCACUAUAAACCUUGGCGUUGUGUGAUUGUGAGUAUUUUAUUCCGCAGUUUUUAUUUUGCAAUCAUAUUCGGGAACUCUUAUUCAAAAAAUGUUUAAAUUUCACUAGGAUAACCUAUUCACCCCCCUUUAGGUUAUUUCAAUUAGUAUCAGAGUGGGAGCUCAAAGGUUUUAGGACUAUUUUAGUCUUAACGUGAGUCAAAGACCAUGGUCGCAUCCCAAGGACCACCAGAGGGCAUGAAUGCCUAAAGACCCCCUUACUUUAACGGAGCAAAUUUCUUUCUAGAAGUGUAGAUUUAAGAACUUUUUAUGUGGUCAUAACAUAUUCAUAUGGAGGGUCAUAGAACAAGGACCAUACGUCAUCACCAAAGAAGUUGAAGGAAAAACGGUACUUAAGGAAGAGAAUGAAUGGACGGCCGAUGAUGUUAACCUCAUCCAAUACAACUUCAGAGCAAUUACCUUCCUCCAAUGCGCUCUCAACGAAGAAGAAUUCAAUCGAGUCAUAGCAUGUGAGUCAACCAAGCAAAUUUGGGAUAUGCUAGUAGUUACUCAUGAAGGCACAGAGGAAGUAAA